GGCCUGGUGGUGUAAUGGUUGCACUCCUGCUUCAGAUAUACUGGUUUUCGCUGAUGGUAUGUAGGGGGUCCUUGUUCGAUUCAAGGCUAGGUCG